rnacentral:misc_RNA from 1 species
UUUCCGUAGGUGAACCUGCGGAAGGAUCAUUAAAGAAUUUGCCCCGUCCUCUCGAGGAUGGGUCCUCUUCUAAACCGUGUAUACAUACCUUUGUUGCUUUGGCGGGCCGCCGUCUCGGCGUUGGCUUCGGCUGACUGUGCCCGCCAGAGAACCCCAACUCUUCUGUUUAGUAUUGUCUGAGUACUAUAUAAUAGCUAAAACUUUCAACAACGGAUCUCUUGGUUCUG